AUAUGAUGUAAAAACU
rnacentral:sRNA from 1 species